CAGGUAAACAACAGGUAAACAACAGGUGAACAACAGGUGAACAACAGGUAAACAACAGGUAAACAACAGGUGAACAACAGGUGAACAACAGGUGAACAACAGGUAAACAACAGGUAAACAACAGGUAAACAACAGGUGAACAACAGGUGAACAACAGGUGAACAACAGGUAAACAACAGGUGAACAACAGGUGAACAACAGGUGAACAACAGGUGAACAACAGGUGAACAACAGGUAAACAACAGGUAAA